GGCGGGGCCGCGGGCGGGCGGGCUGGCGGACUGCGCCCUCUCCCCUUCCCCUCACACACGUCCCUCGAGCCCGGCCUGCGCCCGUCCCCGGGGUGCCCCAGGCCCCUCUCUCCCGGCCGCCUGUAUUCCCCUGGCUGCAUCUCGGUCACGGCCACCCCAGAUCCCCGGCCUCCGCCGCCCCGGACGCAGGUGAACCGGAAGCGCGCGCCGGCGCCCGGGCCGGAGGCGGCGCGGGGGGCUGGGGUGGCCGGGACUGAGAUGCCGCCGGGGACUGAGAUGCAACUGAGGGGCCCAGGUGGCCCGGGAACCGGCCAGGUAUUCAGGGACUGAGAUACGGUCGGGGGCCGAGAUGGCUAGGGGACAGCGGUGUCCAGGGACCGAGAGGCGGCCGGGGACCUCGGGUGCCCAGGGGCCGAGAGGCGGCUGGACACCUCAGAUGGCCAGAGCACCAAAGUGUCCAGAGACUGAGGCGGGUGGGGACCGAGGUGGCCGGGAGCCCAGGUGGCGGAAGGGGAUCCAGCUGGAGGGGGCCGAGACGCCGCGGUGGGCCAGGUGGGUCAAGGUACGUCCCGGGCCCGGGUGCGUCCAGCCCGGGUUGGCCCGAGUGGAUUUCUCCACCCUGAGCGCCUCCCCUCCCGGGCUCCGGCCACCUUUUUCCACGCCUUAAAAGAAUGCCCCCUCUUCGGAGAAGCAAUGCAUUUCCUUCAAGGAAACUCAGUGCUUCCUUUCCUCCUGAGUUGUUUUCCAGGGCCGCACAAUAUCUUAUUAUCUGCUUGGCGAAAAGUUUCACGUAUGUAGCCAGACUUGUUUGCCCGAGCCAUUGGCCCACAUAUAAACAGGUUCACACCCCCUUAUUAAAUGCCGGCGCCUGACAGACAGAAACUUCCUAGGGUUCCCUUCCUGCACUUCCCACGCUCAGGCAUCUCUUCCUGAGGGUGGCCUAUCCCGGGAAGGUUAUUUUAACAAUGAAACAAUGACAGGGGGUGUGUAUUUGUCCGUGUGUUCCUGCUGAGACCACACUGAUGAGGGCUGAGACCACACUGAUGAGGGCGUUGCUGUUUCUGGUUUUCUGUUCCUUUUUAUUUUACCAACACUGAGGUGGUGUUCUGCCUGGGUGGGGGUGGGGGGAACUUACUUGUUUAUUUGCCAAAGUAAGUCAACCAGGACUGACACAACAGAAAGUUUUUCUUUAGAGAUAAGCCGUGGACUUCCCUGGCGGUCCAGUGGUUAAGACUGUGCCCUGCAUGCUGGGGGCAGGGGUUCCAUCCCUAGUUGGAGGACUAAGAUCCUCCAAGGGUAGGCCAGAAAACGAAAGGAGCUAGAAGGAUGGAACUUACCCCUGUCUGAAGCCAGGUGGUGACAUUUGUGUCUGCCAUUAUUAGCAAGGUUCUCCCUGUAGGAGCAACAACUUCUGAGGUGUCUUUCAAAUCAAGUUAGUACAUGCAACCUACAACAACUUUCGCUUUGAAGUAAGAGAAAAUGCAGAGGAAACAGCUAACCUUUGUGCUUGAGAUUAACAAGGAAAAUGAUAAUAAAACCUUGGCUCUAGGAAAGCCUAGCCACAAAUUAUUAAUUUAUCCUUGUGAUCAUCAUCAUCCGGCCCCUGGUAUAUUUUCAGCCCAGAUAGCCCAUCAUAAAAACAAACGUGGCAUUUAAUUUAAAGUCAUUAAUGCAUAAUUAACUGUGCCAGGAAUUUACAGAAGGAUGGGGAGAAAAAUUUAAUUGGCAGAGAGAAUCUGGAUGUUGUCAGAUGUUAUUCAGUCUCGGAUUUUUAGUUUCUUUCACGCUUUUGAGAAGGUUUAGAGAGGCCGGAUUGCUACAUAGAAGAGAUGAAAUUAAAGGGCUGAGUUCAUUGAUCUUACUCUUAAAUUGUGAUAAAUCAAGGGCAAGCUUCCCGAAUGUCAAAGAGAGUUCCCGAUACAGCACCGCAUAUUUUGAUGGUUGGUUUGGUAAACAAGAGGGUGUUUUGUUCUUGCUGCUUGGUUUUUUCUCAGAGGCUGAGAGUGUUACUUACAAUGAAUAAUUCUUUCUAAUAGGUGAAUCUCAUAGGCUUUACCCAUUCCAGGGCUCUUUUUUUUUUUUUUCUGGAAAGAUGGGAGUUCAGGUUCAGUGUCUAGAUUUGUCUUCAGAAUGACUUAUUGAGAGAUGCAGGAAUAAGGUUUUGUGCAUGGUUAAUAUUUAAUUAGCUCGCUCCCAGAAAUAUCUAGUGAGCUGCCAGCCGGGCCCCAUUGGAGGAAAGGACAUGGAGAGCCGAAGCUGCUGCUUACAGGUCUCCUUCUGAACAGAAAAUAGUGCAUCCAGCCCUCAAACACUCCUUGCCUUCGCAAUGCACUGUCCGGGUCUCCUCGUUGACCACAGCACCCUGUAUAUCAGAGGGGCAUUUUGGCUUCCUUAGAACAUGUGUCCCCACUGUCCUGCCAGCCUCGCUAUUCCUCCUGGCCUUAUGGGUCAAGAAGAGGAAAAAUGUGACUGACCACACCCUGUUUUGCAAAAGGGUUUCUAACCCUGCCCGGGUCAGGAAAGUGGAGGGAGGGCAGUCUUGCAUCCUUCACGUUGCGGGUACUCGUGGUUGUUAUGUGAUGUCAGUGCGUGAGUGCCUGUGUAUUAAUCCCCAGGGCGCUGUGCAGAAAGCUGGUCUAUUCUUCCCCAAGACUUUAUGGUCCCUUUGGUGAUAAAGCCCCUUUUUAAAAUGGAAGGGACAAAACUGCACUGGCGUUUUGUUGUUGUAGUGUUCUGAGUACAGAACACUGGGAUACAGCGUACCCGUGUUCUGAACAUGAAAAUCACCUGUCUUGUUUCGAAGGUGGUGCGAUAUCACCGAAAGUUGGUGCACCUGUGUCCCUGGGCAGGGUGCUGAACUCCUGUUCCCUGUAAAAAUAGAGAAAAUUCCAUCUACUUCCUUGGGCUGUUUCAAGGUCUAGAAACGAUGGGGUGGGCUAAAGAGGCCCCCCGCCCCACACCAAAGAUGUCCAUGUCCUAAUUCCUGGAACCCGUGAAUAUCUUAGCAGUCCUGGGUAAGAAAAAUGCUAAUCAGAGGACCUUAAAAAUAGGGGGCAUGGCCUGGGUUAGCCAGGUGGUCCCAGUGUAAUUACAGUACCUUUAAAUGUGGAAGAGGUCACGAGGAGGUCAGGGUGAUGUGCGGUGAGGGGGACGCCGUGGGACAUUGCUGGCUUUAAAGCUGAAGGAAUGUGAGUGUCCUCUAGAAGCUGAAAAAGGCCAAGAAAUGGAUUUUUUCACAAAACUUCUAGAAAGAAACGCAGCCCUGCAGGCAUCUUGAUUUCAGCCCCUAAGAUCCAUUUUGGACUUCUGACCUCCAGAACUGCACUGGGGGGCUGGUGGAGGACGCCGUGCUGUGUGGACAGGACCGGGUGUCGUAGUCAGAGCCGCCCUGGACUGGAAGCCCGGGAGCAGAGCCAUGGCGGAGUCGGCCGGCACAGAUUCCUGGGCUGAGGAGAGGAACCGCGGUGUUCCCCACCCCCCGAUUCUGCGGCACAUGCAGGACAGUCUAGGGAGGCGAUGGGCACCCCGGGGCCUGCUGUCCUGUCCUGGGACGGGGCUUGGCUGCCGCGCCUGGCAGGAACAGCAGGCCUGUGAGCGUCCACAGACUCCCUCUGUGUGAGCACUGUGCCUCCUUGGGAGACUUCCCAGCCCACACAUCUGCCGCUGCACACAACGGGGCCUGUUCCCUCCGGGAGGGACCCUGUUCCCGCAGCCGGUGGCGCAGGGAGCGGGCGGCACCAGGAGGCGGGGCUUAUGGGGGGACAGGAGGGGCCUGGUGCCCAGACUGUGCCGCGGGCCUGAGUCACCCACAUCUCGCUGGGUCCCCAGAGCCUCCCUCGCUGCCUCUGGAAACCGUCCAUGUGCACCCCAGGGCACUGACAUGGACUUGGGGGAAGGGGGUGGGGGGUGAGUAAGGACACUGUCAGGGAUGCUGAGUGCGUGGAGAAGCGUAAAUCAGGGGAGACUGAAACAGUGGGAGGAAGUGGACUCCCCAGAGGAAAGGCCGGGUGCGCUUCCUGGGGGUCCAGGCCCAGCCAUGAGAGGGUGCUUACAUCUGGACUGACGCUGCGGGAGGGCGGGGAGGUGGGCCCAGCUCCCGGCUCCCCUGCUGGGCCCCAGCCGGCCCACUUGGGCAGGGUGGGUCGCUGCUGCAGGCUGGGGGAAGGGGGGCAGGGGGCUGGCCUCCAGGAGGAAGGGGGUCUGGGGUCGGCCCCAGGACAGCGGGAGGGCAGGGCGCCUGCUGAGCCUGACUGCAGGUGACAUUUUGGUGUCCCCCAGCCUUCGGGGCAGCCUGCUUUGCACGUGUGGCCCUCCUCUGCGCUGGCCCAUGGUCUUGCAGGCCAGGUGGCAGUCGUCAGAGCCAGCUCAAGUGUUAGGGUAGCUGGGGGAUGGGGUUACACACCCCAGAGACGGGCCCACUCCCACCUUACGGGCUGGUGUGCCCGCCCCGCCAGCUCUCUGCCUGUGCUGGAAGGAGGGGCCUGGGAGCUGGACCACAGGAUCGUUAAGGACACAGCCAGACCUGUCUGUGCCCUUAUUAGCUGUACAGAUACCCAAGCUCUUGGAGCCUCAGUUUCCUCAUCAGGAAAGUGGGCUCAUGUCCAUUGGGAGCGUGUUGCCUGGACCUGGCGCAGGGGAGUGCCCAGGCGUUGCUGGUUGUUGAUCUCCGUCCUCAGCCUCUGUGGGCUGAGUUCUCUGCCUGAUGGGGCGUGAUGUUGGCCAGCAGGCAGCAGUACACCCGGGCCGGCUCCUCUCACAGUUGAUGCCUGUGGAACGCGGGCAGGCGCCUGGGCCUCAGGGAGGCUGAGCUGGCAGAGGACCAGCAAACACAGAACAGAUGGCUAGGGAGCCUUCCGUGUCUGGCUCGCCAAGGCUUCUCACGUAAGGGGAGCCAGAACCAGCCUGUGUCCUCUCAGGACCCUGGUCCACAGUGAGGCCAGAGCCGCACCUCCAGCCUGGCCCUUGAUGCCGGGGGAGCCGCCCCCCAGGGCCCAGCGUGCUGUGUGCCGCUGCCCAGCUCUCCCCGAGCCCCCAAGAACAGCCACAAUGGGUGCUGUGUGUGAAAGGAGGUCAGCCGGCCUGGCUGGGGUGGGCGUGAGGGGCCCAGCCGGCCCAGCCCCAGCCACUCCCAGGUCCGGGAGCCGGAGCAGAAAGCACGGCCAUGGCUCUUGGGGUUGCUCUCCUAGCAGAGCAGGCCUCCAGUCGGUCACAACAGGACCACAGAUGAGUGAGAUCGCCUCGUGCGUGGCAGGGCCAGGUCCUGUUGCCCCCGCUCCAGAGACGGAGAGCAGAGUGGCCUCCGGGUUAGAAAGAAAGGAAACGCCCACUGCCCCUAGGGGUUCUCUCUCCAUCCUGUCUUGCUCCCAUCACAGCUGGGCCCGCUCCAGACAAGUCGGGGCAGGACCGGGCUGCAGGGGGAGCAGGGACCCCCUUGCCUAGCCUUGAGAGCUCCCUGGACGGCUGAGGCCACGUGGGGUCUGGGGCCGCACUUGUAGGGGACUUGGGAGAAUCGCUGAGCUGGAGAGGUGUCUACACUGGGCAGGGACCCCAUCCAACCCUCCCACCAACCAGCAGCUCUUCUCACUCGAUCCACAAGCUCAGGGCUAGGUGGGUGGACAGAGGCUUACAAGACCUGUCACCACGUGGAGAAUUAAAACAUAUCCAUGAGCAAGCCCAGGGCCAGUGGUGGUUCCUGGGUGAGUGGGGUGGGGGUGACAGUCAGUGCCCCGAGCCUUUGGUGAGGGAACAGUCAUAUCCAGGAAGCCUUCUCGGAAGAGGAGGCGUUGUGCGCAGGGGGUCAAGACUCCAGCAGGUGGAGGAGGGAGGGGACCUGAGGCUGCCACCUUGCUCGGAGCCUGAGUGGGGGCAGCAUGUGUGUAGGUGGGUCCUCCCCUUCCUGCCACCCCUGGUGGGUUGCAGUCACUGUUUGGGUCAGUGGGGCUGGGAGCUGAGUCAGGACUCACCCACCCAGGAUGCACACAGACAGGCUGUGGGACCUGGUGUAUCCUGGUUUUCCACGUAGUGGCUGUGGGGGCCUCAUCUCUCUAGGCCAGGCCCCGGGGUAAAGUGGGGGUGACAUGCAUCUCCUGGUGGAGUCCUGGAAGGCUCAGGCCACAGCAGUCUCUCCAAGAGGCGGGACCCAUGGAAGCUGUCAGGAGGGGACUGGCCUUGCCCCCAGGGUCCCGGGGGGCCACACCUUCUGGGGAGAAGGAACUGCCUGCAGUUUUCAGAUCAGAGUUGUUCUCCUGCAGCACAAGCUGGCCCUUGGCCUUAUUUCCCAGACCCCAGAUGCUCUCAGUGGCGGCAGCAUCGAGCGUUAGUUGUAGUUUGAGCUGCACGUAUCAAGUGAAAGAAAAGUCCCGAGUGGUCUGGUUUGCUUAGGUUAGAGAAUUUCUUUUUUUAAAAUCAUAUUUAUUUAAUUUUUGACUGUGUUGGGUCUUAGUUGUGGUGGGCAGGAUCUCGCCUUGUGGCUCUCAGGCUCAGGAGUUGCAUUGGGCAGGCUUAGUUGCCCCGUGGCGUGGGGACUCUUGGUUCCCAGCCAGGGGUCAAACCUGCGUCCCCGGCAUUGGAAGGUGGAUUCUUCACCACUGGACCACCAGGGAAGUCCCUCAGAGAAUUUCCGUUCUCCCCUCAUCUCUGCCCUCGCCUCUAACCAGCGGGAAGGAGCCAUCCUGUCUUUGUGUCCCCUCCGUUGGCUGCUCUCUCCCAGGAAGGCUGCCGGGUGGGUCUCUGACCUCUGUCUCCUCUGUCCCCUCCCAG